UUCCAACCUCAGGUUAUAACUUAUGGCAGGUGCACUUAGGCGGGGUGUGACACUCCCAAGGCUGCUACACACCCGCCUCAGCUGCAGACGGCUUCCUGGGUAUGGUGCUAAGCUCUGACAGUGCUGAGCUCCUUCAACAUAAGGAGUUCAACCAGCUGCCAAACUGCACUGAAAUGUGCCGCACCCAAUGAUGUAAUGAUGGACUAAAGAAAUGGCCACCCCUUCAACAUGGGAGAAUAUCUUUGCUAAUGUGGCAAUAAAGAUGUUUGGACAGAGAUGCUGCUGUUCUCCUAAAGCAAAGUCCUUGGUUUUAUGACUGUGGACCUGACAACUCUGAACAAAUGCUGGGGAGGAUUAUACUUGUGUGAAACAUCUAAGUAUGACACUGUAAAUGUGCUGUAGGACUCUUGCACAUGCAUAUGCAGCAGUAACAAAAGAUUAUGGUAAAUGUAGAUUGGAUGCUACAAAGAAGCAACAGAAAAUUCUUUCAUGUUACUAAGAACUGGGGAUACAGAGUAUGCUGUUCUUCACCUGUGCACUUGUACAAUAGAACUGAGGCCAGGCAAAGCUGCGGAAUUAAGUUAUAUUGCCUAUUUGGAGGUAAAAGAUCCAAAAUAUGAGAGCAUGUGUGCUGGUAGACCUUGUGGAUCUCACACAUUGACACGUGUGCAAAUGCCUAGGGGCCACAGCACAUUUCCUGCCAAGCCCAAGGAGCCUGGGUGCUAGUUUUGCUGGGUCCUUGAAAGGCAUCCCCUGUCAGGCUUAGUCCAAAGCUGCUCCUGUAAGACCCAGGUGGCAGCGAGACAGUUUUGUCCGGGCAGGCUCUUCGCCUAUCACACCUGCACCGCAGCUGUUAUUGCUGGACUCUAUGUUGGCUAUAGAUCCGCCAAAUUAAAAAUGGGACAUUUUAUCCCUGUUCCAAGGAGACUGAAGACUUCAACUACCAGAACUGAAUGCCAAUAAAUACUAUACAGUGAAAGAAAGUGAUUUUUUU
rnacentral:lncRNA from 1 species